CAGUCGCCGCGGUAAUGCGGAGGGUGCGAGCGUUAAUCGGAAUAACUGGGCGUAAAGGGCACGCAGGCGGUGACUUAAGUGAGGUGUGAAAGCCCCGGGCUUAACCUGGGAAUUGCAUUUCAUACUGGGUCGCUAGAGUACUUUAGGGAGGGGUAGAAUUCCACGUGUAGCGGUGAAAUGCGUAGAGAUGUGGAGGAAUACCGAAGGCGAAGGCAGCCCCUUGGGAAUGUACUGACGCUCAUGUGCGAAAGCGUGGGGAGCAAACAGGAUUAGAUACCCCCGUAGUCCCUGUCUCUUAUAC
rnacentral:rRNA from 1 species